AUUUGGCAGUGAUGAUUAUUACCCAGCUUUAUGCCACUUAUGCUUCAGAAAAUUCUUGAUAGAGAGAGCUGAAAUCAAUCUGAGACACUU